rnacentral:lncRNA from 1 species
GCAAGCUGCAAAUUUCAUCUCCUUUGAAGCUCUGCCACCCUUAAAAUUACACUCUGAGCCUGAUUAUCACUAUGGAAGUCCUAUGGCUAAGGAGAUAUUGGUCACUAAACACUGCCAAGAUGACCUUCUGGCUUUCAGUGUGCCCUAAUUUGACAGUUGGCUGAUCAGAAUUUGUUACUUUCUUUUUGCAAGGCUUCCAAGACAGUUAACAAAUGCUAACAAAUUCCAAAGUCCUUUACCCCCAAAACAUUCUAGGGACAGAGAUACUGGAUAACCCAUUUCUUCUUGUUUCAUUCCAUCCCAGGUGAGAUUCCCAGGAACUGAGAUGCAGGCCAGGGAUUACCACCACCCUGCUUAUCCUAUCAGUGAGGGAAAAAAGAAAAGAAUUGGAAGCCUUGCAGUUGAAUCCAGGAGUGUGUCCAUGCCUUGCAACAGGAUGCCUUAAACAGAUGGAUAAAAUAUAGAACAUAAUAAAUUUUAUGACUAAUAUAUAAUUCUGCAGAAAUUGCCCUCUUUCUAACAGGUGAGUAAAGGUUUAUAUAGAGAUUUGUUAUCUCUAUAUUUAAAUUAAGAAACUACAGCCUUGAAAAAAU